GACCUUUGGGAGUGAGUUAGACAAAAAAAAAGAAAAAGAAAAAAAAAUAUUUGGGGUGUUCGGGUUUCCUGAAGGCAAUACCCGGGUAUUAGGUUAGGGGCUAAGGUAAGGUUUAAGGUUUUUGGCGUGAGGGUUAAAAUCACUGUCCAAAACCUUUGUAGGAACUCUUUUCCUACCUUUUGGAGUUAGUUAGACAAAAAAAAUAAAUAAAUGAAAAAAAAAUAUUUGGGGUGUUCAGGCUUCCUGAAGGUAAUACCCGGGUAUUAGGUUAUGGGGCUAGGUUAAGGUUUAAGGUUUUUGGCGUGAGGGUUAAAAUCACUUUCCAAAACCUUUGUAAGAAGUCUUUUCCAACCUUUUGGAGUUAGUUAGACAAAAAAAAAAAGAUAAAUGAAAAAAAAAUAUUUGGGGUGUUCGGGCUUCCUGAAGGUAAUACCCGGGUAUUACGUUUUGGGGCUAGGGUAACUUUUAAGGUUUUUGACGAUAGGGUUAAAAUCACUGUCCAAAACCUUUGUAGGAACUCUUUUCCAACCUUUUGGAGUUAGUUAGACAAAAAAAAAAAGAUAAAUUAAAAAAAAAUAUUUGGGGUGUUCGGGCUUCCUGAAGGUAAUACCCGGGUAUUAGGUUAUGGGGCUAGGGUAAGGUUUAAGGUUUUUGGCGUAAGGGUUAAAAUCACUGUCCAAAACCUUUUUAGGAACAAAAAAAUAUUUGGGGUGUUCGGGCUUCCUGAAGGUAAUACCCGGGUAUUAGGUUAUGGGGCUAGGGUAAGGUUUAAGGUUUUUGGCGAUAGGGUUAAAAUCACUGUCCAAAACCUUUGUAGGAACUCUUUUCCAACCUUUGGGAAUUAGUUAGACAAAAAAAAAGAUAAAUGAAAAAAAAAUAUUUGGGGUGUUCGGGCUUCCUGAAGGUAAUACCCGGGUAUUAGGUUUUGGGGCUAGGGUUAGGUUUAAGGUUUUUGGCGUUAGGGUUAAAGUAACUGUCCAAUAUUUUUAAGGAACAUGUUUCAGACCUUUGGGAGUUAGUUAGACAAAAAAAAAAGAAAAAGAAAAAAAAAUAUUUGGGGUGUUCGGGUUUCCUGAAGGUAAUACCCGGGUAUUAGGUUUUGGGGCUAGGGUAACUUUUAAGGUUUUUGGCGAUAGGGUUAAAAUCACUGUCCAAAACCUUUGUAGGAACUCUUUUCCAACCUUUUGGAGUGAGUUAGACCACAAAAAAUGAAAAAUAAAAAAAAAAAUAUUUGGGGUGUUCAGGCUUCCUGAAGGUAAUACCCGGGUAUUAGGUUUUGGGGCUAGGGUAACUUUUAAGGUUUUUGGCGAUAUGGUUAAAAUCACUGUCCAAAACCUUUGUAGGAACUCUUUUCCAACCUUUUGGAGUUAGUUAGACCACAAAAAAUGAAAAAAAAAAAAUAUAUAUAUUUGGGGUGUUCAGGCUUCCUGAAGGUAAUACCCAGGUAUUAGGUUUUGGGGCUAGGGUAACUUUUAAGGUUUUUGGCGAUAGGGUUAAAAUCACUGUCCAAAACCUUUGUAGGAACUCUUUUCCAACCUUUUGGAGUUAGUUAGACAAAAAAAAAAAAGAUAAAUUAAAAAAAAAUAUUUGGGGUGUUCGGGCUUCCUGAAGGUAAUACCCGGGUAUUAGGUUAUGGGGCUAGGGUAAGGUUUAAGGUUUUUGGCGUAAGGGUUAAAAUCACUGUCCAAAACCUUUUUAGGAACAUGUUUCCGACCUUUUGGAGUUAUGGUUACACAAAAAAAAAUGUAAAAUGAAAAAAAAAAUAUUUGGGGUGUUCGGGCUUCCUGAAGGUAAUACCCGGGUAUUAGGUUAUGGGGCUAGGGUAAGGUUUAAGGUUUUUGGUGAUAGGGUUAAAAUCACUGUCCAAAACCUUUGUAGGAACUCUUUUCCAACCUUUGGGAGUUAGUUAGACAAAAAAAAAAGAUAAAUGAAAAAAAAAAUAUUUGGGGUGUUCGGGCUUCCUGAAGGUAAUACCCGGGUAUUAGGUUAUGGGGCUAGGGUAAGGUUUAAGGUUUUUGGCGUAAGGGUUAAAGUAACUGUCCAAUAUUUUUUAAGGAACAUGUUUCAGACCUUUUGGAGUUGGUUACACCAAAAAAAAUGUAAAAUGAAAAAAAAAUUUUUUUGGGUGUUCGGGCUUCCUGAAGGUAAUACCCGGGUAUUAGGUUUUGGGGCUAGAGUUAGGUUUAAGGUUUUUGGCGUUAGGGUUAAAGUAACUGUCCAAAACCUUUGUAGGAACUCUUUUCCAACCUUUUGGAGUUAGUUAGACCACAAAAAAUGAAAAAUAAAAAAAAAAUAUUUGGGGUGUUCGGGCUUCCUGAAGGUAAUACCCGGGUAUUAGGUUAUGGGACUAGGUUUAAGGUUUAAGGUUUUUGGCGUGAGGGUUAAAAUCACUUUCCAAAACCUUUGUAGGAAGUCUUUUCCAACCUUUUGGAGUUAGUUAGACAAAAAAAAAUGAAAAAAAAAAAAAUAUUUGGGGUGUUCAGGCUUCCUGAAGGUAAUACCCGGGUAUUAGGUUUUGGGGCUAGGGUAACUUUUAGUGUUUUUGGUGAUAUGGUUAAAAUCACUGUCCAAAACCUUUGUAGGAACUCUUUUCCAACCUUUUGGAGUUAGUUAGACAGAAAAAAAAAGAUAAAUUAAAAAAAAAUAUUUGGGGUGUUCGGGCUUCCUGAAGGUAAUACCCGGGUAUUAGGUUAUGGGGCUAGGGUAAGGUUUAAGGUUUUUGGCGUAAGGGUUAAAAUCACUGUCCAAAACCUUUUUAGGAACAUGUUUCAGACCUUUUGGAGAUGGUUACACCAAAAAAAUUGUAAAAUGAAAAAAAAUAUAUUUGGGGUGUUCGGGCUUCCUGAAGGUAAUACCCGGGUAUUAGGUUAUGGGGCUAGGGUAAGGUUUAAGGUUUUUGGUGAUAGGGUUAAAAUCACUGUCCAAAACCUUUGUAGGAACUCUUUUCCAACCUUUUGGAGUUAGUUAGACAAAAAAAAAAAGAUAAAUGAAAAAAAAAAUAUUUGGGGUGUUCGGGCUUCCUGAAGGUAAUACCCGGGUAUUAGGUUAUGGGGCUAGGGAAAGGUUUAAGGUUUUGGGCGUAAGGGUUAAAAUCAGUGUACAAAACCUUUUUAGGAACAUGUUUCAGACCUUUUGGAGUUGGUUACACCAAAAAAAAUGUAAAAUGAAAAAAAAAUUUUUUGGGGUGUUCGGGCUUCCUGAAGGUUAUACCAGGUUUCUGGGCUAGGGUAAUGUUUAAGGUUUUUGGAGUUAGGGUUAAAAUCAAUGUCCAAAACCUUUGUAGGAACUCUUUUCCAACCUUUGAGAGCAAGUUAGACCAAAACAAAAAGAAAAAUAAAAAAUAUAUAUUUGGGGUGUUCGGGCAUCCUGAAGGUAAUACCCGGGUAUUAGGUUAUGGGGCUAGGGUAAGGUUUAAGGUUUAAGGUUUUUCGGCGUGAGGGUAAACAAUCACUGUCCAAAACCUUUGUAGGAACUCUUUUCCAACCUUUUGGAGUUAGUUAGACCACAAAAAAUGAAAAAUAAAAAAAAAAAAUAUUUGGGGUGUUCGGGCUUCCUGAAGGUAAUACCCGGGUAUUAGGUUUUGGGGCUAGGGUAACUUUUAAGGUUUUUGGCGAUAGGGUUAAAAUCACUGUCCAAAACCUUUGUAGGAACUCUUUUCACACCUUUUGGAGUUAGUUAGACCACAAAA
rnacentral:lncRNA from 1 species